UGGCGGACGGGUGAGUAACGCGUGGAUAACCUGCCCCAUACCGGGGGAUAACAGCCGGAAACGGCUGCUAAUACCGCAUAAGCGCACGGGAAUGCAUGUUUCAGUGUGAAAAACUCCGGUGGUAUGGGAUGGAUCCGCGUCUGAUUAGCUGGUUGGCGGGGUAGAGGCCCACCAAGGCGACGAUCAGUAGCCGACCUGAGAGGGUGGCCGGCCACAUUGGGACUGAGACACGGCCCAGACUCCUACGGAAGGCAGCAG
rnacentral:rRNA from 1 species